rnacentral:tRNA from 1 species
AGUAUGAUCAGCUAAUCAAGCUUUCGGGCCCAUACCCCGACAAUGUUGGUCCUUAAACCCUUCCCAUACUA